CAGCCCAUGCCGGGCCGCCCGUUCCGCAGCCAGGCGCAGGUGCUUUCCGGCCGCCCGGCCCCCAGGAUGCUUCUCCUAUGCCAGCUGCAAAUCCAAUAGUCAACCUCAUAGCAUCUGACAGUCUAUUAGUUCAAGAAGAAUGCAUGAUGCUACUGACCACUAUAAUACACUACCCAUCA